GGAAUUGCAGUUGAAACUGUUCCCCUUGUGUUCAGUCGCGGUAUGCGGAAUUCGUGGUGUAGCGGUGAAAUGCAUAGAUAUCACGAAGAACCCCGAUUGCGAAAGCAGCAUGCCAGAGUGCAACAGACGUUGAAGCUCGAAAGUGUGGGUAUCAAACAGGAUUAGAUACCCUGGUAGUCCACACGGUAAACGAUGGAUACUCGCUGUUGGCGAUAUACGGCCAGCGGCUUAGCGAAAGCGUUAAGUAUCCCACCUGGGGAGUACGCCGGCAACGGUGAAACUCAAAGGAAUUGACGGGGGCCCGCACAAGCGGAGGAACAUGUGGUUUAAUUCGAUGAUACGCGAGGAACCUUACCCGGGCUUGAAUUGCAGACGAGUCAUCCGGAGACGGAUGAGCCGCAAGGCGUCUGUGAAGGUGCUGCAUGGUUGUCGUCAGCCCGUGCCGUGAGGUGUCGGCUUAAGUGCCAUAACGAGCGCAACCCUUUCCGCCGGUUACUAACAGGUGAUGCUGAGGACUCCGACGGUACUGCCAUCGUAAGAUGUGAGGAAGGUGGGGAUGACGUCAAAUCAGCACGGCCCUUACGUCCGGGGCUACACACGUGUUACAAUGGGGGGUACAGAAGGCAGCGACCGGGCGACCGGAAGCGAAUCCCAAAAGCCCCUCUCAGUUCGGACUGGAGUCUGCAACCCGACUCCACGAAGCUGGAUUCGCUAGUAAUCGCGCAUCAGCCACGGCGCGGUGAAUACGUUCCCNNGNCUUGUACACACCGCCCGUCAAGCCAUGAAAGCNNNNNNNNNNUGAAGUGCGUAACCGCGAGGAGCGCCCUAGGGUAAAACCGGUAAUUGUGGAUGGGUCGUAACAAGGUAACCA
rnacentral:rRNA from 1 species